ACGUAGGGGGCUAGCGUUGUCCGGAUUUAUUGGGCGUAAAGAGCGUGUAGGCGGCCAGGUAGGUCCGGUGUGAAAACUCGAGGCUUAACCUCGAGAUGUCAUCGGAAACCAUCUGGCUAGAGUCCGGAAGAGGAAAGUGGAAUUCCUGGUGUAGCGGUGAAAUGCGCAGAUAUCAGGAAGAACACCAAUGGCGAAAGCAGCUUUCUGGGACGGUACUGACGCUGAGACGCGAAAGCGUGGGGAGCGAACAGG
rnacentral:rRNA from 1 species